GAACUUCAACGCGUCGCCUUCGGCGAUGUGCUUGGAGGUGUCUUCCGUGAGGCCGCGCAAUUCGGCGAGCUUCGCCUUCAGGCCCUUGUAGCCCUUGUGCGGCGGAUUGUAGCCCUCGAGUGCCGCCGAAGCGUCCUUCGCCGUGGAGACGUUGACAAGCACCUCGACCGGAUCGACCGGAUGUUCGGGAUAGGAGAUAUCCGCGCUGACGCGCGAGAAGUGCAUGCGGCCGCUCUGGGCGUGGCGCGCGUAGUCGAGNNNNNNNNNNNNNGCGCAGUUCGGCCUCGGCCUGUGCGUCAGGCGUGGAAGCCGCGGCGAAAUCCGGCGUCGG
rnacentral:misc_RNA from 1 species